rnacentral:rRNA from 1 species
UGGGGAAUAUUGCACAAUGGGCGCAAGCCUGAUGCAGCCAUGCCGCGUGUAUGAAGAAGGCCUUCGGGUUGUAAAGUACUUUCAGCAGUGAGGAAGGCGGGUGUGUUAAUAGCACAUUCGUUUGACGUUAGCUGCAGAAGAAGCACCGGCUAACUCCGUGCCAGCAGCCGCGGUAAUACGGAGGGUGCGAGCGUUAAUCGGAAUUACUGGGCGUAAAGCGCAUGCAGGUGGUUUGUUAAGUCAGAUGUGAAAGCCCGGGGCUCAACCUCGGAAUUGCAUUUGAAACUGGCAGACUAGAGUACUGUAGAGGGGGGUAGAAUUUCAGGUGUAGCGGUGAAAUGCGUAGAGAU